rnacentral:rRNA from 1 species
AUGAACGCUGGCGGCGUGGAUAAGUCAUGCAAGUCGAAUGAUUCAAUUGCGAUUACAUCAAGAUUGAAGAGUGGCGAACGAGUUAGUAACACAUUGGUACAUACCUUUUAGUCGGGCAUAACACCGCGAAAGCGGUGCUAAUUCUCGAUGGCAUCGUAAGAUUAAAGGAGCAAUCCGCUAAAAGAGUGGCCUAUGUCCUAUCAGCUUGUUGGUGAGGUAAUGGCUCACCAAGGCUAUGACGGGUAGGGGACCUGAGAGGGUGACCCCCAACGAGGAGACUGAGACACGGCUCCUACACCUACGGGUGGCAGCAGACGAGAAUAUUCGACAAUGGGCGAAAGCCUGAUCGAGCGACGCCGCGUGCAGGAAGACGGCCUUCGGGUUGUAAACUGCUUUUGCGUGGGAAAAAUUUUGAUUGUACCACGAGAAUAAGGGGCUGCUAACUUCGU